rnacentral:rRNA from 1 species
AAAUCCUUGGUGUGUCAUCGAGGAUAAGGUAAGGGAAAAUAAUGAUAAUACCUUACUAAUAGUGUCGUCCAACAUCUCGUGCCAGAAGACUCGGUAAGGCGAGAGACACAAACGUUAGUCGUCUUGAUCAGGCGUAAAGGGUUUGUAGGCGGCUUUAAGUAUCUAUUUUUAAGUUUAUUUUUAUAAAGCUAAAUACUUUAAUUAGUUUUAGUUUUGUAUUAUAUAUUGAAAGAUCAAUUAAAGCUAGAAUCUAAAAGAGGUUAAAACAAUGCUUGAUUACAGGUGUACUAACCGUAAACAACUAGUAGAGUGUUAAGGGCGAAGGCUUUUUUCCAAUAAAGAUUGACGCUGAGAAACGAAGGUGAGGAAAGAAAAAAGGAUUAGAGACCCUUGUAUCCCUCACUGUCAACGAUGAAUGGUAGUUACUAGAGAGAAAUAAUCUAGAGACAAUGUUAACACGAAAACCAUUCCGCCUUGUGAGUACGACUGCAAAGUUGAAAACAAAAAAAUUAGUCGGUUUCG